rnacentral:tRNA from 1 species
GCUUCGGUAGUUCAGGCGGUAUAAACGCCAGGCCGUUAACCUGGAGUCAUUGGUUCGAUCCCAAUCCGAAGCG